rnacentral:rRNA from 1 species
AGUGAACGCUGGCGGUAGGCCUAACACAUGCAAGUCGAACGGCAGCACAGUAAGAGCUUGCUCUUACGGGUGGCGAGUGGCGGACGGGUGAGGAAUACAUCGGAAUCUACUUUUUCGUGGGGGAUAACGUAGGGAAACUUACGCUAAUACCGCAUACGACCUACGGGUGAAAGCAGGGGAUCUUCGGACCUUGCGCGAUUGAAUGAGCCGAUGUCGGAUUAGCUAGUUGGCGGGGUAAAGGCCCACCAAGGCGACGAUCCGUAGCUGGUCUGAGAGGAUGAUCAGCCACACUGGAACUGAGACACGGUCCAGACUCCUACGGGAGGCAGCAGUGGGGAAUAUUGGACAAUGGGCGCAAGCCUGAUCCAGCCAUACCGCGUGAGUGAAGAAGGCCUUCGGGUUGUAAAGCCCUGUUGUUGGGAAAGAAAAGCAGCAGGUUAAAACCCCGCUGUUCUGACGGUACCCAAAGAAUAAGCACCGGCUAACUUCGUG